rnacentral:rRNA from 1 species
UACGUAGGUGGCAAGCGUUGUCCGGAUUUACUGGGCGUAAAGAGCGCGCAGGCGGUCGAUUUAGUCGCGUGUGAAAGCCCCCGGCUCAACUGGGGAGGGUCACGCGAUACUGAUCGACUCGAAGGCAGGAGAGGGUAGUGGAAUUCCCGGUGUAGAGGUGAAAUUCGUAGAUAUCGGGAGGAACACCAGUGGCGAAGGCGGCGACCUGGGCCAAUACUGACGCUGAGGUGCGAAAGCGUGGGGAUCAAACAGG